CGAGCACAUUACGCUGUGCUGAUGCGAAGAGGGGGAGACGGAUGAGUGGGAGGGGGAUGUGCGCUGUGAUGUGUACGCAAGCAUGAUGAGAGCGAGAAGUGGUGAUGCACGUGUGUGAUGUGCAAAGUGAAGGCGCGUGCACAGCAGUAAGGUGGUAGCAGGUGAGACCGCAAUCAA
rnacentral:ribozyme from 1 species